AUUUCGUCUCCUGCGACGAUGUCCAACUCCACGCGGAAAAGGUCAUCCCUUCGAGAGAGAGAAAGGGAGAGACAGAGUGAGCGUGGCCGUCAGCCAACACAGCACUAUCCACGGCUUAAGAAGGAGGGGCCGCCGCCUGCGAACAAGCUCCCGCUGCCUCGGCGAGCGUCUCCACCACCUGAGUUCUGUUUCAGGUCGGCUCCUGAAUGGCUCGAGGGGGAGCAGCAGAUGUAGCUGUGCAGUCCAAACCCGGUGCAGCUGAGCGGGCCGUCCUCGUCUGGCCCUCCUGACCACGAGAGCUACCGUCUGUCCACGAUCAGCGCAUUCACAAGACCGACAGACAGGAGGGGACCAGCAUCAUAUGGGGGAAAAUAGAAAACAUUUGCCCUGCCAAAUAUCUGCCUUCAGAUGAAGCGACUGUGACAGAUUUAUUCGAGGAAUCUCGCCUCUGCAGGGAUCUAACUACAGUUAGCACAAGUUGGGGAUUAGAACCUUUAAAUAUCUUAGUUAUAGCAGUUAAUUAUAAAAGAAGAGGGUUUUUAAUCUUUUAAUGAUGUAAUGUUUGUUAAAGCACCAGUGUUUAAAAUGUUAGGAUUUCUGCAGAGACAUCACUUCACGUAAAGUUAGUUGACUCUCUCACAGGAGUAAAGUAAAUCUGCUAACUGGGACAUGUGAGAGUCCAAACCAGAGGAAGCUAUGGUAGCUAAGCAGUGUUGUUAUAUAACUCUACUCUGUCGUAGCUUAACUGCUUCAUUGAAGAGGUGUUUUCUAUAGACAGUUUGCCGCUUUCUGGAGUAAACGAGGCUUCACUCUUGAUUUUGU